ensembl:lncRNA
UAGUCAGAACAGUAGUAGUGACACGGAUUAUAACAUUACUACAUUACGAAACUAUAAAAUAGAUAAAAAUGUAUUAACAGAAAAAGUGGUUCUUUUGAUUAUAGUUUUAAACAAAAUAAAGGUAGUAAUAAUGAAUUAGAAAAAAACAGUUUUAACUAAUUUAGUUGGAUAUAGUAAUGGAAAUAAAAAUAAAAGUAAAAAUAAAAGUAAAAAUAAAAAUAUAAACGAAAUAAUAAAAACUUAUAACAAUAAACAUAAAAAAUUUAUUGCAUGUGAUAAAGAGAAAAAUAUUAAACAUGAAGAGAAGUAUAAUGAUGAUCAAAUUACAAAUAAAGAAAUUACGUAUUAUGAUGGUAAAUAUUAAUUGAAAGUGUAUGCAAAACUAAAACAAAAAUAACUAUAUAUAUAAAUAAAAAAACAAAAUAUGCAAAGAAACAAUUAUAAUGAAAUAUUAAAUGAUUUAGAAAAAUGUAAAAAAGAAAAAAGGUUUACUUCAUAGAAAUGUUGAAAAAGAUAAAUGUAUGUAUAAAAUAUUUUUGUUAAGUUUACAUAAUUUGAAUAGCACUACUGAAAGUAAUGUAAAACAUGUAGAUACUGUAAAAAAUGUAGAUACUGUAAAAAAUGUAGAUACUGUAAAAAAAAUGGAAAUAAAUAAUAUUAUUCUGUUUAAUAUGGAUGAAGAACUUUUAAAUGAAUAUUUAUAUAUUCAAAUUGUGGAGGAUACUGAAACUGCUUUGGUACUUAAUUUAGAAUUGCUACCAUUUGUUCCAUUCCAUUGUAACUUUUUUAUUAUGAUUAAAAAGGUAGAAACUGUCGAAAAUGUAGAAAAUGUCGAAAAUGUCGAAAAUGUCGAAAAUGUAGAAACUGUCGAAAAUGUAGAAACUGUUGAAAAUCAGAAAAAUAAAAAACCAUAUAAUAGUCAGUAUACUCAGUCAUAUGGAUAUACUAAACCUAAACCAGAAGAUAUAUUAUCGAAUAGUCCAAAUAAAAUAAAUAUGGAUAUAGUAUUGUCAAAAGAAGACGAAAAAAAUAACAAACACAAUUGGGAUAUUCAUGAAAACUAUAUAGAAAUCGAAUCAAUAAAAAAAGAAAAAAGAAAAAAAAACACAAACAUUGAAAAAAAUUAUAUUUUUGUAGAAAUACAAAAUUAUAUUAAUAUAUCAAAUAAUUUUAUUAAUAUUGAUAUAAAUAAUAAUUUCUGUUCAGAAACUACAUUUGAAAUAUUUUAUAAAAGUAAUAAUGAUUCUUAUUUUAAUGCUUAUAUUUUAAAUUAUAAUCAACCAAGUACUUAUACUAUAACGGAUGACAUUUCUAAUUACGACAUUAAACCCAGUAGUGGUUUGUUAAGACAUAGUACAUAUAAUAAGUUUGUCAUUUACAGAAUAAAUAAAAAUAAUGUAAUAAAUUUAAUCAAUUCAUUUCUACUUUUAAUUAGAACUGAUAAAAAUAUAUUCUCUUAUAUAAUUUUUGCGCGGUACACUCCGAUUUCGAACAUACCUGUAACACUUGAACAAACUGUGAUGAAAGAAAUGGUAAACGAAAACAAAAAAAAAUUCAGCAUAAUGUUUGACACAUUUAAGGAGAAUAAAAAAGAAAGUGUAAUAUUUAAUAAGGAAGACCGAAUUGUAAUUGAAGACAUUUUAAAAUCAACUAACGAACUUAAACCGUGUUAAUUAUUAUAUAGUAAAAAAAAAAAAAAAAAAAAAAAGAAGACUGUUUUACUUAUGUGUUAUAUUAUAUAUAUAUAUAUAUACAUACAAUAUCUAUGCAAUAUGUGCUGACGUAUAUCUUCCCGUUAAAAAUUAAUCUAUAAUAAAUGCAUACUUAUCGUAUAUAUUACA